rnacentral:rRNA from 1 species
AGUGAACGCUGGCGGUAGGCCUAACACAUGCAAGUCGAACGGCAGCACAGUAAGAGCUUGCUCUUACGGGUGGCGAGUGGCGGACGGGUGAGGAAUACAUCGGAAUCUACUUUUUCGUGGGGGAUAACGUAGGGAAACUGACGCUAAUACCGCAUACGACCUACGGGUGAAAGCAGGGGAUCUUCGGACCUUGCGCGAUUGAAUGAGCCGAUGUCGGAUUAGCUAGUUGGCGGGGUAAAGGCCCACCAAGGCGACGAUCCGUAGCUGGUCUGAGAGGAUGAUCAGCCACACUGGAACUGAGACACGGUCCAGACUCCUACGGGAGGCAGCAGUGGGGAAUAUUGGACAAUGGGCGCAAGCCUGAUCCAGCCAUACCGCGUGAGUGAAGAAGGCCUUCGGGUUGUAAAGCCCUUUUGUUGGGAAAGAAAAGCAGCAGGUUAAUACCCCGCUGUUCUGACGGUACCCAACGAAUAAGCACCGGCUAACUUCGUG